rnacentral:rRNA from 1 species
CAGUAGCCACGGGAAUACGAAGGGGGCUAGCGUUGUUCGGAAUUACUGGGCGUAAAGCGCACAUAGGCGGACAUUUAAGUCAGGGGUGAAAUCCCGGGGCUCAACCCCGGAACUGCCUUUGAUACUGGGUGUCUAGAGUAUGGAAGAGGUGAGUGGAAUUCCGAGUGUAGAGGUGAAAUUCGUAGAUAUUCGGAGGAACACCAGUGGCGAAGGCGGCUCACUGGUCCAUUACUGACGCUGAGGUGCGAAAGCGUGGGGAGCAAACAGGAUUAGAUACCCCUGUAGUCCCUGUCUCUUAUAC